rnacentral:lncRNA from 1 species
UAGACAAUACCACACUAUUAUUAGGAAAAUGAAACACUAACUGGGAAAAGAAAUAGUAACACUAUCCCUCAUACAUCUUAGCACUUUGCUGAAAGGGAACUUGCACACUGUAAGGGUUCCUUUUUCUUAAUCAAUUUGAUCUCUGUUUUUCUUAAAAAGAUCAGCAUUAGGAAGGAAGUACCUAAGUUGCUAUAAAUCUUUCCAUAAGAAAAGUUUAGGGGUCAUUAAAUUGAAAGGGAUGUAGCCCUUAUCUUAAAAAAGUCAAAUGAAGGUAAUAAGAGGAAAAGUAGAGACAGGAUACAAAUGAGCACGGAAGCUUGGUGCAUCAGCAAGACAACUGAGGUACAGUGAAGAAAAUUUUUUGUCUCCUUUAUCUGGUUUCUUGUAGGUGGCUAUGUCGGGCACUAAAAACACGUAGACAGUUGACCCCCAACAGCUCACCUCAAUUUCAAUAGGAAAUAAGUCAAACUGGAUGGAAAUCCAAGUUCAUGACUGUGUGAUCAUAGCAAAAAGGGCA